AGGCAUUGAUGGAUAGCUGGUCUGAGAGGAUGAUCAGCCACACUGGAACUGGAACACGGUCCAGACUCCUACGGGAGGCAGCAGUGGGGAAUCUUGCGCAAUGGACGAAAGUCUGACGCAGCCACGCCGCGUGAGUGAAGAAGGCCUUCGGGUUGUAAAGCUCUGUCGCCCGGGACGAAAAUCUAUUAGGUGAAUAGCCUAGUAGACUGACGGUACCGGGAAAGGAAGCACCGGCUAACUCCGUGCCAGCAGCCGCGGUAAUACGGAGGGUGCAAGCGUUGCUCGGAAUUAUUGGGCGUAAAGGGUAGGUAGGUGGUCUCAUUUGUCUGGGUGAAAGCCUUGAGCUUAACUCAAGAGGUGCCCCAGAAACGGUGAGACUAGAGUCUUGGAGAGGGUCGUGGAAUUCCCGGUGUAGCGGUGAAAUGCGUAGAGAUCGGGAGGAACACCAGAGGCGAAAGCGGCGACCUGGACAAGCACUGACACUCAACUACGAAAGCGUGGGGAGCAAACAGAAUUAGAUACCCUGGUAGUCCACGCUGUAAACGAUGGGUACUAGGUUUGGUGGGUCUUGACCCCCGCCGAACCGGCGCUAACGCACUAAGUACCCCGCCUGGGAAGUACGGUCGCAAGACUAAAACUCAAAGGAAUUGACGGGGGCCCGCACAAGCGGUGGAUCAUGUGGUUUAAUUCGAAACCACGCGAAGAACCUUACCUGGGUUUGACAUCCCCUGACAAACGUAGAGAUACGUCUUCUGUAGCAAUACAGCAGGGUGACAGGUGCUGCAUGGCUGUCGUCAGCUCGUGUGGUGACAUGUUGGGUUAAGUCCCGCAACGAGCGCAACCCUUGUCUUUAGUUGCCAGCAUUUAGUUGGGCUCUCUAAAGAGACUGCCGUGGUUAACACGGAGGAAGGUGGGGAUGACGUCAAGUCCUCAUGGCCUUUAUAUCCAGGGCGACACACGUGAUACAAUGGACGGUACAGAGGGACGCCAAGAGGCAACUCGGAGCUAAUCUCAAAAAGCCGUUCUCAGUUCGGAUUGGAGUCUGCAACUCGACUCCAUGAAGUUGGAAUCGCUAGUAAUCGCGGAUCAGCACGCCGCGGUGAAUACGUUCCCGGGCCUUGUACACACCGCCCGUCACACCAUGGGAGCUGACUCAACCAGAAGACGGUUAGGCUAACCGCAAGGGAGCCGCCGGCGAAGGUGGGGUUGGUGACUGGGGUGAAGUCGAAACAAGGUA
rnacentral:rRNA from 1 species